UGCACCACAAUCUGGAAUAGACUUCACAAAUAUACAGAUCACCAAGAGAGAUAUAGACUAAACUGAAGCCAUUAGCAAGAUAAAAAUCUUUUUGGCCACUCCCAGCCAUGCAUUUAGUGUUGCAAAGGCUUUCCCUCCCUGUUUGUACUGCAUCAAGGUUCAGAGAGCCAUUGCAUAUAAAUAGAUGACCUUGCAGCUGAACUGGUAUGGUUAUGCUGGGAGAAAGAUCAAAAGGCUGAUCACCAUUGCUGAGCCAAAUCAUCUGUCACAUUUGGCAUCAAGACUAUCCAGAAAACAUGAAGCCUGAACACUUGCUUUGCCAGUUGCUGGGCUGCUUUCUGCUACCCGCAGCUGCCUGUAACCCCUUGAAAGCAGACUGCACUCGUGUCAAAUGUAGCCCCUGCCCUGACCAACACACAGCGGUGACUUCGGAGAAGAACUGCUGUGCUAUAUGUGCCCCUCCAUGUUCCUGUCCAGAUUACCAGCAACUGGAAUGCGCCAUGCAAGGCUACGAGGAUGGAAACGUCCCUGUGGGGAAAUCUUUCCACAUAGACUUUGCCACCCAACUCUGCACCUGUGUUUCUACAGGGAAUAUCUCUUGCACUUCAGUUUGUCCUUCGGUUUCACCUACAUGCAAGGAGACCGGAAGCCCUCCUGAUGGCUGUCCCCAGUGUGUAUGUCCCAUUGACAAUGACAGAAUCGUAAUUGCUGGCAGCACCAUCCCCAGGGACAGUGAGAUGUGUGUAUGUCCCCCUGAGGGAGGCAAACUACUCUGCACCCCAACCACCCCUCAGCCCACUACAGAUUAACAAUGAAGAGGCUCUGUUCUCCAAGUAAGCUAAGGAUUGUAGGAGGGCAAAGCUUUUUGUUAUUAGAAUAUAAGAGAACUCCCAUUAUAUCUGUGGGCACCCUUAUGGAAAAUCCUAUAGAAUGUACAAGAAAAUAAUUAUCUUGCUAUAGGUGUUUCAAACUCUCCUAUAAAAUGGAAUAGUGAAGUAUAGUCUUGCUAUAGAAUUGCAUAGGGCUAAAAAAGAAACAAAAACUAUAAAAAGGCAUGCCAUUCUCUAUUAAAUCUCAAAACCAGCUCCAAACAUUUAUAGUAAGUUAUUAUUUUCUGUUAUAACCUAUAGGCAUUCUCCAUGAUGGUGUUCAGGAAUGUUUGAGUGACUGCUGAUAGAACAUAAAU